CAACGCGUUUUUCCUCUCUCCCAGAGGUAUACUGCGGCGGCCCAAUUACUAUGAUUAGGUUUUCCGGCUCAGACAAGCUGGCGCGUGCUUACACAUGAAGUCGAACGGGAUGAUUUACAAGCUUGCUUUUAGAGAAUCUACUGGCAAACGGGUGAGUAACACGUAGACAACCUGCCGACAGGAUGGGGCACAACAUUCCGAAAGAAAUGCUAAUCCAAUGAAGCGAGAGACAUCCUCCUCUGAUGAAAGAGGCCUCUAUUUAUAGCUAUCACCUGUUGAUGGUCUGCUCUGAUUAGCUAGUUGGUGAGGUAACGGCUCACCAAGGCGACGGAUCAGAUAGCCGGUCUGAGAGGAUGAACGGCCACAUUGGGACUGAGACACGGCCCAGACUCCUACGGAGGCAGCGUGGGGAAUCUUCCCAAUGGGCAGCCUGACGGAGCAACCCCCUAGUGAAAAGGUCUUCAGAUCGUAAAGCCUGUUGACUGGGACGAACGUCAGAGGAAUAGCGCUUUGUUUGACCGUUCCUGUCAGGGAAACCACGGUCUCUGCCACAACCACGAAAAAUAGGUGGCGAGCUUGUCCCAAUCUUUUAAAGACCAGCGGCCGGUAUCUACUUAAAGUGCGGCCACCCCGAGGGAAAAAUCUAACAGGAAGAAAGGAUUCCCGUCCGGGAAAUUAUUUGGAAAAACCUUGGAAGGGUUUUGAAAACCCCAAAAGGCAAAGAAACCCGGGGGGAAAUAUGGGGGAAACCCC
rnacentral:rRNA from 1 species